AGGACGAACGCUGGCGGCGUGCUUAACACAUGCAAGUCGAGCGAACCUUCGGGUUAGCGGCGAACGGGUGAGUAACACGUGGGCAACCUGCCCCAAGCUCUGGGAUAACCUCCGGAAACGGGGACUAAUACCGGAUAUGACUCUGGAAGACAUCUUCUUGAGUGGAAAGUUUUUCGGCUUGGGAUGGGCCCGCGGCCUAUCAGCUUGUUGGUGGGGUAACGGCCUACCAAGGCGACGACGGGUAGCCGGCCUGAGAGGGCGACCGGCCACACUGGGACUGAGACACGGCCCAGACUCCUACGGGAGGCAGCAGUGGGGAAUAUUGCGCAAUGGGCGAAAGCCUGACGCAGCGACGCCGCGUGAGGGAUGAAGGCCUUCGGGUUGUAAACCUCUUUCAGCAGGACGAAGCGAAAGUGACGGUACCUGCAGAAGAAGCACCGGCCAACUACGUGCCAGCAGCCGC
rnacentral:rRNA from 1 species